AUUUAAGCAUUCAGAAAGUAAUCAUUGAAGUUUUCUAGAGAGUCUGUGGUUGGUGGAAACAGAUAAAUGAAGAUGAUGAAAUUGGGCUGAAUGUUAUAAAGAAUUUGAAAUCAUAAGAAUUCGGUGCGCACACCUUACAGUGCUACUCGUGAAGCGAGAUUGAGAGAUAGGGGGAUUUUCCCUAUAAUUGAGGUGGCACCGCGCAUCGACGUCCUCACA
rnacentral:ncRNA from 1 species